UACGUAGGGUGCAAGCGUUAAUCGGAAUUACUGGGCGUAAAGCGUGCGCAGGCGGUCUUGCAAGACAGAUGUGAAAUCCCCGGGCUUAACCUGGGAGCUGCAUUUGUGACUGCAAGGCUGGAGUGCGGCAGAGGGGGAUGGAAUUCCGCGUGUAGCAGUGAAAUGCGUAGAUAUGCGGAGGAACACCGAUGGCGAAGGCAAUCCCCUGGGCCUGCACUGACGCUCAUGCACGAAAGCGUGGGGAGCAAACAGG
rnacentral:rRNA from 1 species